AGAGUUUGAUCCUGGCUCAGAGCGAACGCUGGCGGCAGGCCUAACACAUGCAAGUCGAGCGCCCCGCAAGGGGAGCGGCAGACGGGAGAGUAACACGUGGGAACGUACCCUUCAGUUCGGAACAACCCAGGGAAACUUGGGCUAAUACCGAAUACGUCCGUAAGGAGAAAGAUUUAUCGCUGAAGGAUCGGCCCGCGUCUGAUUAGCUAGUUGGUGAGGUAACGGCUCACCAAGGCGACGAUCAGUAGCUGGUCUGAGAGGAUGAUCAGCCUCACUGGGACUGAGACACGGCCCAGACUCCUACGGGAGGCAGCAGUGGGGAAUAUUGGACAAUGGGCGCAAGCCUGAUCCAGCCAUGCCGCGUGGGUGAUGAAGGCCCUAGGGUUGUAAAGCCCUUUCGGCGGGGAAGAUAAUGACGGUACCCGCAGAAGAAGCCCCGGCUAACUUCGUGCCAGCAGCCGCGGUAAU
rnacentral:rRNA from 1 species